UUUUUUUUUUUUUUUGUUGAUACGAAACUAAAAACAUUACAAAGACAAAUCUUUCGGACAACCCGAGUUAACAGUAUCAAAUAGCAGCGCUCUAGCAACAACUGUUGAGUAUCCAUCUUGCCACUCACGACCAUUCGGGAGUUGGUGGCCUUCAUUUGCAAAUGCAUCCGCCACAAAGUUUGCCUCUCUGUAUACAUAGUUAAAGCAAACUGAGAAGAAAAAGGUAGCAAUAGUCCGAAUAUCUUGGACAAUCUUCUGCAAUCUCUAAGGAGGGGAUAAUUUCCCAUUUGUUUGUUACUUUGGUUAAUGAAAAAAAGAGAGUAGAGUAUCUAUUUUGUGAUAUCACUGUUUCAUUGAUCAAUAAUAUCCUUUAGCAUUCCAAAGUUUAGUUGUAACCCUAUUUAAGUGAAUCAACUUCAUGGAACGGAUUCUACAUACCAAGUAGGUGCAGUUGCACAAUUAAUGUGUAAGUGCUUAAUUAAAUCGCCGUGUAAGGAAAUCAAAUAAAGACUAGUGACCCUAAAUUUAUUAUUUCAAUUUCAUUUUUGACCCUUAUUUCUUUCUUUCAACAUUUUCUUCGACCUAGUAUUCUCACCUCUUUAGUUGGAAACACUUGAGAUUAUUUGUUUAGAGUUUUAAUAUUGUAAACGAUAUUAGUAUAUAUGCAUAUAGUAGAACGUAAAUAACCGGAUCAAAAUACUGUAUAUUUUCGCAACGUCAUAGCUAAAUGUUUAUACUAUAACUUCAUGCAACAAACUGUUCUUGGAGAACAGUGGAGAAGGGUGUCAUAGAGAAUUCCUUACGAAACGUAAGACCUUGAAAUUAGGGUUUAAGGGUUGCGAGUCACGAGGGACCACGUGGUCGUCUCCGGUGGCUCGGGGUCUGCAUGCAUUCUGGGGUUUGUGGCUCCUCCUUUUAACGUAUAUUAUAUUUUUGUAAUUAAUUUAGGGGAAAAAAUGGGGGAUCAAUCAAAAUCCAUGUAGUUAAUUUGGAAGUAUACGACUAAAAAUACGAUGCUGCAUCAUACAGUAGUGAGAGCUAGAUAACCAAAUUAAGAGGUUUAACGCAUAAGUUAGUAGGUCUCACGUGAUCGUGUUGUUUAUGUGUUUCUGCCUCGAUCAAUUUAUUUUGAUUUCCAAAGCCGAGCUUUGUUUAAUAGAGCUAGCUUUGUCUUGUAACAAUUGGCAUGGAAUGGAGGAGGAAGUAGAGGAGUAGGAAGUUGGUGCAAUAGGAGUCGAUCAACGUGAGCAACUUGGUAAAGGUGGCAUGGAAUGGAAACAUAGGUGAGUGAGUAUUCUAGUUUGCCCCAACGUGCAAGUCCCUCUCCUUAUAGUGUUUGAAAAUUCUUGACACUAUUAGUGAACUGUUGUUUACUAAUAUUAGAUAUAUCGCAAUAUCUAAUAUAUCUAGUCUUUCAUGUAUUGUUUAGUUCGCGAAAAAAUAAGCAACAACAAAGAUAAAUUGUUCAUUUCCUGCGUAGGGAUGCAAAAGAAAAUGAAAUACUUUACUAAAUGAAGAGAAAAUAGAAGGAACGAUUCAUUUCAAAAUUCAAAAGACCAACUUUUUCCUAUUUAUUAUUCACACAAUAUUAUUUUAAUUAUUUGUUAUAAUUAACAACUUUUUAGAUAUUUUUCUUAUAUUACCAAACACCGGUACCGGAAACAUAGGUUUUUUAAGAAAUUUUAUUUCCAUUCUCGCUUUUUCAUUUCUCGCGGGAAAGAAAACCAAACUGGACCUUGUUGUUAUUAACCAAUUCAAACGAGACCUUAUGUUGAUGUAAUAAGAUUGGCAUUAGAGUUUGAAGAUCGAUGAAAACCGAUCCAUAAAACCUAAACAAUGGAUGAGACCUUAAUUACAGUACCUUACGUAGCAUAACUACCGGCCGAAAGUAAAUUCAGAAUUUACAUAACCUGAAAAAAAUAACAAAUAACUAUCUGGCUAAGACUUACUUUUAGUAAUUAAUCAACACAAGAGGAUUUAAUUCCAUUACGAACGUGAUUCAGGCGCAAGUAUACAAUAUAGCCAAACGUGUAUCUGGUAAUUGCCAACGAAUAAAUAUAUGCAGAAUCUGCAAUGAACUAUCAUAUAUAAACCCUCGAUGUUUAGCUCAGUUGAGAUUAUACACAAUACAAAAGGUACAUCGAUCGUACCAUUCAUAUAAACAUGUACGUCCGUAAACAUAAUUCCAAUCAAGAUGCUCUCACAGUUUUUGUAUCACUCUAUUAAUUCUUAAUCACAAACUUUGAGAGAGUUCCAUAUUACGAUCACCAACAUAUAUAUUUGAAAUUGUUAGAGAGAGCCAAAUUGUGGUUUUCAAAUUUGCAUGCCAGCUACCAAAGAAGUAGCAAUAAUAAUAAUAUUGUAUAUGUAUUGCAUGUUUCUUGGGUCAAUGGUAAUAGUUUAACUCCUACGAACUGUCUAAUUCCAAGUGUACCGAGUUGGCAAAACAAAUAAAAACCCUAAUUUUCUUUUAGCCACUGGAAUGAUGUGCAUGCCCCCCUCGACUAUGUUUAGCAUAAAACAAAAACAGCAUGACAUAUAUGAUUCCCGAUUUAUACCCUUUUAAAAACGAGCAAAUGAACUGAAAAAUAAUUUUAAAAAAAAUUUCUAAUUUGAAACUGUGAAAGGAGAUCUGAUGAUUCCAAGCCCUACUCAAACGAUAAUUAAAUCAUGAUUCUAUAUAACCUUGAUUAUUAGGGUUUAUUUAGACCCAAGUUCUAACUUCCAGCUUCAUCACUUAAUAUGAUUAGAUUAUGAUCAAGGAUGGAUCACAGGUAACAUACAUGAUAUACAAACAUCAUGUAGGUUUUGUUUUGGCCAGUAAAUUAACGGGGGGAUUUGUCCAAAAAGAAGAAGAUCGAUGAAAGUAUAUGAUGGGGUACGUGGGGCAUGAAAUAUUUAGGUAAAUUUUCAUACAUAUAAAGCAAAUGGAUUAUUCUUAGAUUUCUCAUUCAAUUUAUGUUCUAUGCCAGUUAUUUGGUUUUGUCUUAUAUCAUGCAUGAUUGGUGGAGAAGUUUAUUAUGAUGGGCUCCAAAGUUGUACAAAAGUUUCAUAGGUUUUGAUUGACCCUUUCGAGAGGAAACGGAAACUGGAAAGUAGUGAUAAUGGAAUUCCAAUCUGAGAAAAUCAGUGAAAGUCUGUAGGGAUGCAGACAAUACCAAAAUAAUGGUACUUUGGUUCGAAGAAUAUAUAUCAAUGACAAUGCAUCCUGGUUUCGGUACCAUGCAUUGGAAAGUGAAAGCUGCUAGCUAGCUCUUCUUCAUCAUUGCAAUCUAUUGCUGCCCCUUGAUGAUCUCAGACAUGAGAAUCCAAGUUAUAUUUUCUGUAGCAAGGUGAUGAAAGACUAUCUGCUACUGAGAAAAAGUCAGAAAUUAUACGAAGACGUACCAUCUGGUUUUUUGUUGCCUCAUGUAUAUAGGCUAAUCACGGAGGACUGGUAUAAGAUCAAUUUGGCAUGUAGAUUAAUUUAGGCCGGUCUGUACCAAGUCUACGCAAAUAGUCUAAACAUAGUUCACUGAGAAAUUUGUCAAUUAAGAGGAAAUGCGGAAAUGUGUGAAAGUAUAGAAAUUGAUUAAAACACACUGAAAUAUACCACACACAAAGUUUUUCAAUUGUUUGAUGCAAAAUCUCAAUGAGAGAAAAAACACUAAACACGAUUAUUCCUUUAAUCUUCAAACAAAGUUUACAAGCAGUAAUUCUCACACAACUACAAAGACAUGUAUAUGUUUACAAUUCUCACUUCUCACACAAGUGAUUCAAAUCCAUGUAUCUCUACAAAGAGAAACUGAAUCAAGGACAUUAAGACUAACAACACACUCAGUUCUCUAGUUCUUACACACAACUAGGUUCUGGAACAAAACCUAAGACUUAAUCACUCUUUGGUUUCUACCUACCGAUUCUCACACAAUCAAUAUCCUUUGGUUCUUCUACACAACCAAUUAGCUGAGAUCUGCAACACAAUCAGCUAUCUUCCUCCACCAGAUCUCAUCUUCUGCAAUCUCAAAUGCAACCUAAAUGUAAGUAAGAAAGAGAAACUCAGUCUAUAGAAAAACACACACAAGCCAUUUGUAUAUUGAUCAUGAACAAUAUCAAUUCAGAAUAUCAAAGUCUCUAUUCAAUCACAAAAAAGCUUAAUUUUUACAAAACACAGCAAAAGCAAUUUAUAGAGUGUAUGACACUCCCCCUCAACUUAUGCAUUUCAAUGAGAAGAUCAAUUUUCGUUUCUAAAAAGAUGCAAUCAGUCAACCAUCAUUUUGCACUUUCCAAAACUCAUAAACCAGUUCCAUGCUAUAACACAACAAUUAGAUAUUCCACAAUUCAAUUUCUUAAUCACCAGAGAACAAUGAUUAUGCACACGUACGUACAUGGAUGAUCAUAUAUGUUUUAACAUCUCAAGAUUUAUGCAGAUAAACAUUUUAGUGCACAUGAUAUGGAAAUCAGAUAUCCUAUAAUAGCUCAAGAUUAUGCACAUAAACAUCUUAAUGUACCUGAUAAGGAAUUUUCCAAAUACAAGACUUUUCACCAAAUUUCCUCGAUCAAAUUUAUAAACUCAAAAGAGAGAUCAACUUACCAUAUUUCAGAUGUUUGAAUCUCAUUACCUUGUGAAUCACAUUUAUCUCUCAAAAUACCUCUCAUCAUGCUGCUUUCUUGAUCUCUGAUUUUUCCAUUCUUCCUUUCCUAGUUUCAUUAGGAAUUCUAGUGUUGAAUAGGAAUUGCCAAUAUACCAACAAUGUGGAAAUCUGGUACCAUGCAUGUAGAUUAAUUGUACGGUUGAGAUGUGGAAAUGCGGCCUGAAAGUGAGCGAAAAUAAAGAGGUCCACACUUUAAUUUCAAAGCGGGACACCGCUCUGAAAGAAAACUAUAUAUUUAUAUAGGAAAAAAUUCAGUUUACUACCCUGAACUUUAGGUCUAAAAUCAGUUUGAUACCUCAUCUUUUUUUAAUCAGUUUCAUACCUAAACUUUCAAAAUGACAUUAAUCUCGACCAAAAUGACUAAAAUANNNNNNNNNNNNNNNNNNNNNNNNNNNNNNNNNNNNNNNNNNNNNNNNNNNNNNNNNNNNNNNNNNNNNNNNNNNNNNNNNNNNNNNNNNNNNNNNNNNNNNNNNNNNNNNNNNNNNNNNNNNNNNNNNNNNNNNNNNNNNNNNNNNNNNNNNNNNNNNNNNNNNNNNNNNNNNNNNNNNNNNNNNNNNNNNNNNNNNNNNNNNNNNNNNNNNNNNNNNNNNNNNNNNNNNNNNNNNNNNNNNNNNNNNNNNNNNNNNNNNNNNNNNNNNNNNNNNNNNNNNNNNNNNNNNNNNNNNNNNNNNNNNNNNNNNNNNNNNNNNNNNNNNNNNNNNNNNNNNNNNNNNNNNNNNNNNNNNNNNNNNNNNNNNNNNNNNNUAGUAUAUAUAUAUAUAUAUAUAUAUAUAUAUUUUCCUUUUAGAGCGGUGUCCCACUUUGAAAUUAAAGUGUGGACCUCCUUGUUUCACUCACUUUCAAGCCGCAUUCAUUUUCAGAUACGAACACCCUUAUUUAUUCACAAGGUACAGAUUUUCUUUAUUUGACCCACUUUUCGAUCUUAUUUUCUCAUCUUAACCGUUCAUAUUGUAGGUAUAUAUGAGUAGAUAAUCUCUACAAAUUUUCAGCUAAUUUAAAGAUCGUUAAUGUAUCGAAAAUGAAUUAAAUCAAUUAACGAAUUGAAACUGUUCAACCUGAACUGUUCGUGUUUUUAGUUCUAAAUCACAUCAAUCUUUGAAUGCCUUAACGAUUAUCAAUUUGGCUGAAAAUUUGUAGAGAUGAUCUACUCAUAUAUACCUAUAAUGUAAACAGUUAAGAUGAGAAACUAUGAUCUAAAAGUGAGUCAAUUAAGAAAAUCCGUACCUUUUGAAUAAAUAAGGAUAUUUGGACCUGAUAAGAAUUGUGUGUAUAUAUAUACAAGGCAUUUCCACUAAAGGAUCCCUUUUUUGACAUAUAUGAGGAAUGGGGGAUUACACCAACUUUUCGAUCACAAAAUCACAUCUCCACCGUUUAAUAUGUAGUUCCAUAUGAGUAGAUCACUUAUGCAAAUUUUCACAAAUUUUGGUGAUCGAUAAGGCAUUUAAAACUACAAUUUAUAAUUAUAAGCAUGAACGGUUCAAGUUUGGCAGAUUUGGUUCGUUCAUUGAUUUAAUCUUGUUCGACACCUUAACAAUUACCAAAUUGGCUGAAAAUUUGCAUAAUUGAUCUAUAUAUAGGGACCAACAAACUGAACGGUGAAGGUUCAAAAAUAUAAUCGAAAAGUGGGUAUAAUCCCCCAUCCAUCAUAUAUGUCAAAAAAAAGGAUUUCAUUAGUGGAAGGGCCUUGUGUGUAUGUAUAUAUAUAUCGUUGUAAGCAUGACAUCUAAAACUUAAAUUUGGAUAUAAAUUAUGGUUUAAUCAUAGUUUUUAUAUAUACAAAACUUAAACUAACUAGUAAUUAAGAAGAAAAUACCAGAUCAACUAUGUAAUACACCAUUCAACUAGCUAGUAAUUAUUAAGAAGAAAAUACCAGAUCAAACUAUGUAAUACGCUCCAAUUAUUUUAGCACAUUUGUACCGAUUUAAGCUCAAUAUUGACAUGCCAUGCAAUAAGCCACUGUUUCACCAACCCUUGUGAAAUUAUCAAUUUAUUGACCAGAACCAUUAGGAAACUAUAAAUUUGUUUUACCAAUUCCAUCAGACUACUAGAAUUUUGUGUGACAUUGACAUGUAACCAACACGAACAGACUCGUAAGCAAUUACGUACAUAAUAGUUAUUCGUGUGUAUAAAUAAAAAUUAACAUUCAUGAUCAUUAUCGUAUUAAGCCCAGAUUCAACUAGGGAUCGGAGCUAGCAAGAGAGAAUAAGCAAUGACAGAAGUGAAUAACAAACAGGUGAUAUUGAGGAACUAUAUCACCGCCUUCCCGAAAGAUACAGACUUAUACGUGACCAGCUCUUCUGUCAGUACCAAGUUCAAGCUUCCUACUGACACUGCUACUGCUACUUCAAAUUCAAAGGUACUUGCAGUUAUAGUGAAGAACCUCUACCUCUCUUGCGACCCCUACCAGCGGCUUUACAUGAAAAAGAUCGCUGGACUCAGCACCUAUACACCCGGCUCAGUAAGCAGAUUUUCCUCUCUAUCUAUUCGAUCCACGAUGAUAAAUCUCAACGUUGUAGCUAGUCCGGCCAAAUCUCAUUCUUCUUGAACAUAAGCAUUAAAGCAUGUUACUCUAACACUACUAUUUGAGAUUUCAGGUGUAUAUGAACUUGUUGUUUACUUGAGUUUCUUUAAUUGGUGUUAUGCAUGGAAUUACAGCCAAUAUUUGGGUAUGGAGUGGCUGAAGUUUUGGACUCGCAGCACCCAGAUUUUAAGGCAGGUGACUUAGUUUGGGGGACUACCAAUUGGGAACAAUUCAGCCUUCUAACAACACCCAAAAACCUCAUCAAAAUCCAGCAUACUGAGACUGAUGUCCCUCUUUCAUAUUAUGCUGGAAUUCUCGGCAUUACUGGGUUGACCUCGUACGUAGGUUUUUACGAGGUUUGUUCACCCAAGGAAGGAGAACAUAUCUUCAUUUCAGCAGCAGCUGGUGCUGUUGGUCAGAUUGUUGGGCAACUCGCAAAAUUGUUGGGAUGUUAUGUUGUUGGAAGUGCCGGUACUAAGGAGAAGGCAAGUCUAAAAUUUCCUUCCUUGAGAUUUCUGGCGAGUAUCAUUAUUAAAUAUGCAACACCUUUCUGAUAUUUCGUUUUAGUACAACUUUAGCUGAAUGAGAAAAUAUAUACUCAAAAUCUUUGUAACAUAUGUGGAGCUAUUAGUUGAUUAUUUCCAAAAAAAAAAAAGGACUAUUAGUUGAUUAACUUUUCAUAUAUAGUUAUAUAUAUAUAUAUAUAUAUAUAUAUAUAUAUAUAGGCAAAUCAGAAGCAUCUCCUGAUGUCAAGCAAUAAGAAAUUGUUUAUUUGAUGCAUCCGUCCUCCUUAUUUCUAUUCCAUUCAUUAAUCAAUAUUUUUGCUACUGCACUCAUCUUCCUAAUUAACCAGGUUGAUCUGUUGAAGAAUAAAUUGGGGUUCGACGAGGCUUUCAACUACAAAGAAGAGAAUGACUUGGAUCUGGCUUUGAAAAGGUACUUCAUUUUUGGAAAACAAAAAGAAGCUAAUUAAAUACAGUAAAAAUCAACAUGCAUGUAUUUUGAUAUAUGGUAAAUUGCCAUGCAGGUACUUUCCAGAAGGCAUUGAUAUAUAUUUUGAUAAUGUUGGGGGCAAAAUGUUGGAUGCAGUCCUCCUAAACAUGAGAGUCCAUGGACGAAUUGCUGGUUGUGGAAUGAUCUCGCAAUACAAUCUUGCUCAGCCGGAAGGGGUAACAAAUUUGAUGCACCUCGUAGUCAAGCGUGUAAGCUACCAUGGAUUUACAGUCCGCGAUUACUAUCAUGUCUACCCCAAGUUCUUAGAUUUCAUUCUGCCUUACUUACGACAAGGAAAGAUCGUUUACGUGGAAGACAUGGUUAAAGGCCUCGAGGUUGCACCAGCAGCACUGUUCGGACUUUUUAAGGGUCACAACAUUGGAAAACAAGUAGUUGCAGUUGAUCAUGAAUGAUCAAUAUGCAGCAGCAAAUUAAAUGCAGAAGUGGUUAAACCCUAAACGCAUUAAGGAUCGACGCAGAGACAAAAUAAAAUCCCCUUGCAUAUGCAAGCGGUGCAACAAAGUACUACUUACUGCUUCAAUUGUUUGGAUGUGCUUCUUAUAAAUCCCACAUCGAGAAUAUAAAAUAUUGUCUGUGAAUUUAUAAGGGUUUGAGCCACUCCACUCAUUAUUGGUUUUAGAUAUAAAUCGCAGACUAUUUUAUCAAUGUUGUAGAGUUCCUUGCAAAUGGCAGCGGAUUGUGAGCAAAACAAACCAAGGCAUAGCAAACUGACGAGCAUAGAUUCAUAGUCACCAAACGGUCCAAAACCAUAUGCACACGCGUAAAGAAACAAAUUCCACAUUCAUGCCCUCAAAUGAUCAACGUCACACAGGGAAAUCAUGCAAGGAAUUAUUUUAAGGAUCAACCUCACUUCAAAAAACAUUUCUAGCUAAAAGCAACCUCACUCAAACUCCCAAAGCAAACUUCGUAGCUACAAGCUUCAAUAGCAAGUCGUUGAGAAUUUGAUAUCUGCAGAUGCUCGAGGAGAACGCUCUAUUAAAGCAAUUGUUUUACUCAGCGACUUGGGAGGUAGAGAACUUCUCGAGCUGCUCUUUCUAAAGCGAACCUUAAUUGUUUGCAGGCCUCUUCCAUAUUUGAGUACAAACUUUGCAAACACGAUUGCACUCUCGGGGAUCAUUAUACCGCCAAGGAAAAUUUGCACCUCCUUUAAGUGACUAAGAAAGGAGCUUAAAAUUUGACCCUGAGAUUCCCAGUAUUGUUCUUGGGUGAAAUUGGCAUCAUCCAAGGAUUGGUUGUUCCACAUAUCAUUUUUUUCCCACGUAUAAUUAAAGCCGUAAAACCAAAUCGAUAGGCUGUGGAUAACGGGACAGCUCUUGAACAGGCAUGCCAUGCCCGGGAUAUAUCUUUUCAUCGUCGAAAUCGGAAAUAUUGUCAAGGUUUUCAGCUUCAUAAAUGAGAAUGGUAGACCGCCUAAUUUAAAAUAUAUUCCUGAUAGAAUCUGGAGGUAGUUAUCAGAUAUUUCAAAGUUUUCAACUUGGGAUGAAGCGGAGAGAAGAUCCAGAACACUAUUAUAAUUGAUCUUCUUCAUUGUAAUGCAGGAUGACGGCAAACGAUGAUCUGUAUAAUAAGAUAUUUUGAGCAAAGGAAAGCUCUGGAUCAAACACCUUUCAGUUAUGCCUGAAAAAGCCCAACGAAAUGAUCGUAAAUUCGGUGCAAAAAUGUUGAUCCAACUUCCAUUAGUGCACUCUUUAAAACAUGACCAGAUUCCCAACUCCUCUAGUCUCGUUCCGGAGAUGUCCAGGCUAUUCAAAUCCAUAUUGAAUACCGUUAUUUUAGGUUUGGAGAACAAAUUUUGAGAUCACUCCUUCCUCUACAACUACAUAGUUCCAACUUUUCGAGGUAAGGGAAUGAAGAACCAGAAAAUAAAUCCACACCUAUAGCCGUACUUUCCGAAAAAUCCACACGAGUUAGAGACUAAGUAUGAAGUGAAUGGAGAUAAGACCCAACAACAUAAGAAGCAGGAAACCCUACCAUGCCUUUGAAUUCCCACAGCUACUACUAGUCCUUAAUGAGUGGCACAUAAGUUUACAUUGAGGCCUAUCAGACUUGGUUCCAGUACUCAACCGGAUGUGGAGUACAAGUUCCUCAACCCUAGACAAACAAGACUUGUUCGGAUCCACCCCAACUCUUGGAAGGGAAAGUUUGAGGCAUGGGUACAAUAUAUUGCAGUUUUCUUCACAGCGGGCUAAUACUGUGUUGAUGAUAUAGGAAGACCAUAGAUCAUUCCAUCGUCGAGAUAAGACAGUCGUUUGCCCAGCGGAUUUGAAAGGUAAGAAAGAAAGUAUGACAUGCAGUAUAUCAUCUGGGAGAUCACUGAUUCUGUCAACUGCAUAACCACUGUAUCUCUCAUGAUACUUGUUGUUUUCCUCGAUCCUUAUGAGUAAAACUUUUGGCAACGAUGUUUCCCAUGACAAGGUUUAAACUUACAAAAUUUAGCAACUGAUAGAGCAUGCACGUACACAUAGCUAAACGAUGUGUAUUCAUAUAUACCUAUGAUUAAUCCAAAUCCUUGACAAACUUUGAGAGCUUUAUCAAAUAAUUAAGCUAAAGACCAGGUAUUACAAGGAAUGGGAAUUGCAUACCCAUUAGGAUCGAUGAUGACCAAAACCAUCAAACCUAAUUCUAUACAAAAUCUAAAAGGGCUUGAUACAUGGUGAAUUCAUAUAUUAUAUAUGGAGGUUAAUUGAGGAGAGAGGGAAACAAGAACAUGAGAAGGUCUCGGCAGAACCCUACCCUAACAAAAGGCCUUUGAUCACUGAAGAUUAAGAAGGAUAUAGAUCAAGCACUUUUGAUUUGUGUCUGCAUCAAUCACUUAAAACUAAAAUGAAAUUAAAUCCCCCUGCCUCAACCGCUUAGAAUUUAGAAAAUAACACAAGAACUGCUAACGCACAUCGUGCAGAUGACAGCGGAUCGAUUGUGAACCAAACAAACUAAAGCAUACCAAACUGACUAACCUGACCAAAGCAUAGUCACCUGACCAAAGCAUUAUAGGCAGUGCAAGGAAUUUUCUUUAGGAUCAACCUCACUUAAAAUAAUUAAUAAAAUAAAUAUCUUCUCUUGCGCUGAGGAUCAUUGACAGGAAGAAUCAGCAAGUAUGAAUGUAUGAUGGGUUUCUUAAAGAGUUAAAGAGAAGGACAGCAAAAGAAUUGAUAGAUGGUGCUAACUAAGCUUCAAGUAGCAAUAAUGCUCGAUUUUAAAGGAUAUGUUUUUUUGAAACAGACAAAAUAAGUGCGCAUCCAGGGAAUCGAACCCUGGUCAGUACCGUGGGAGGGUACUAUGAUACCACUACACCAGAUGCGCUUCACGUUCAGUGUAACCACAGUUUAUGUAUUAUUACAGUACUGUGAAUCGUUAUUGAUACCAAAGUAAUAUUUUAGAUCCCCUUUUGAAUUUCAUACCUGAAUUCGUACCAUGUUUAGAUUCGUGAAUAUGACCCUCACAAUAUUAUGGUCGUCCUUGUCUACCGAAUGUUGGCCGGUAAGAGUGUCUUUGGCAACUAUGAACCUUUCAAAGGAAAAGUUGCCGCUUACUACAUGCCAUAAACACUUUGCUAUAUAUCUCCCUCGUAUACAAUAAACUUGUAUCGCACUCUCUCAAAGAUAGAAAGAUGUUUAUAAACAUGGUCAAAAUUAAGUAACCUCUUAAUUAACAAACUCUUAUCACAGAUUCACAGAAGCUUACUUUCUAGAUAAUAGUUAGUGAAUUUCCAAUGCGCCAUAUAGCUAGUAAUUAGGUGGCGCAUAGAGCAAGCUCAUGAGAGGAAAGGGAGAUAUUUCAAAUUUUAGUUAUAGUUUUUCUAGUUAAAUCCGUUUGAUGAGUUUUAAGCUAUUUGUGUGUUACAGGCUAAUCAGAAUGCAUGAUUCCUAUUCCUAGUGUAGUUAGGUUUCCUAUCCAGUUAAAUUAGGAUUAGUCAGUUUUCCUUUCCUAGUUUGAUUAUGUUUUUCUAGUCCUAGUGUGAUUAGGAUUUUUUUCCUGAACCAAACCAAGUUCUGUUAAUAAUGUUCUCUAUAAAUACCUUUGCUUGUAGAGAAUAAGUCCACACAAAAAGCAAAGACAAUUGAGUUGAUCUGUCUUAUUGAUUCAACUAAAAACUCGAUCUUCCUUAACUUUCAUUGAUCCAUGGCGAUAAUCUCAGAAUUCGAAGAAGAACAAACUGAAACCCAAACCAAAGUCGCACCACCCUCUGAGUCAUCAUCGUCGCUUAAGGCAGAGAAGAAAGAGGUCAAGUUGGAGGAUGACAAAGGGAAAGCUGGAGGGUCCAAACUAGUUCCAAACAAAGGGAAUGGCUUUGAUCUAGAGAAGUACUCAUGGACACAGAGCCUGCAAGAGGUUAACAUAAUGAUCCCAGUGCCUGCCGGAACUAAAUCAAGGGAUGUUUUGUACGAGGCAAAGGCGAAGCAUCUCAAGUUUGGACUCAAGGGUCAACCAGCUCCUAUUAUCGAUGGUGAUCUGUUUCAGUCUAUCAAGCCUGAUGAGUGCUUGUGGAGCAUAGAGGAUCAGAGUGCUGUCUCUAUUCUGUUGACAAAGCAAAACCAAACGGACUGGUGGAAGUCUUUGGUGAAAGGUGAUCCAGAGAUUGACACUCAAAAGGUUGAACCUGAGCCUAGUACACUGACCGACCUGGAUUCCGAGACGCGCCGCACUGUAGAGAAGAUGAUGUUUGAUCAAAGGCAGAAGCAGAUGGGGCGUCCGACUAGUGAUGAGAUGCAGCAGCAGGAGUUGAUGAAGAAGUUCAUGGAACAGCAUCCGAACAUGGACUUUUCAAAGGUUAAGAUGAUGAACUAAACAGUAAUUCGGCUCUAAUUAGAUCGAUAUGUUACCUCGUUAUUGAAUAAAUGUAGUGGUGGGAUUUCUUUCCUAGCCUAAUUUGUUUUUUUAACUGCUUUAGAGUAAUUUUGAGAGUUGAUGUUGUUCAUGCUUCUUAAGAAAUAAGAAUUUAGUUAUUUUCUUGACAAGAAUGACCAUCACGAUUUUGAGCCAUCAAUGCUCUCCUCCCUUCUGUGAAUUUCAAUUUUUACACUAUCAGCAAAACAGGCUUGUAGAAUCCAGAACAUGACAACAUUAAUAUUAUAGAAUCCUUACAGAAUCUUCUAAUACUACCUAAAAAGUUUCAGAUUAUAACAAACUUGGUGAGGGCGAUUCCCUUAAUACCCCAUUUACGAUUUUGCAAAUAAAAUUUCUCCUGUUGGCUGGUCUUGUCAAUCCAUGUGUGAAAAAAGUGUUGAAGCACCAGUAGUCCAACCAGUAACCUGAGUAAUAUUACAAUAUCUUUUAUUCAUCAGGAGGGCAUACAGUCGAAGAUAGGAGGCCCAACAAAAACGGGCAUUGGAGCAGCACAUCCAUCGAUCCUUAUUAUCCUCGUUUCCAAUACUGUCAAUUUACACAAAACCAAAGGGCACCAGAACGAAUGUUCGACAUUGAUCACGUUUCACAAAUUCAUUAGCUUAACUGACAUAUAAUAUUUUACAUACACGUUAACAUGUGUCUACCAGAAGAAAUUAUUUAGGCGAGAUGGGGAUUCGGAAUCUUCAAGAUCAUGAGAUGGAGAAUGUGCGUGUCUCCCUUCAUACGUUGUAAUCACCAUUCUCGGGUCCUCAGCUAAUCUCUCUACGCGUUUCUUUACUCGGCAGUUGUCCAUUGUGCAACGAUAAUAGCUCCUGCAUGCAUGAAUACAAGAGUUUUAGUAACCUUAUGCAUAUGAUAAGUCCUGCAAAACAACUGAAACAUUGUUGCAGGGUGCAGGGAAUUCAUAAGAGAUAUCAUCAGGGUUUCUUUCAUCGUUCAAACUUGAGGUAUAUAAAAGAUCACCUUGGCGAAUGUCAACAGUUCUUCUAUGGACUUAGAAUAGUAGGUCUGUUUGAAGAAAUAUAGAGAUUUCUUUGCGAAAGUAUCAUACAUGGGAAAUGAAGUCGUAUCUAAUUAUCCCAGCAUGUAGUGAUGUAGAAGAUGUGGGACAUACUUAACCUCUAACUUUCAACUCUAAAUAGGUUUCUGCUUUACUUUUGCACACAAUAUAUAGUUAGAAAUAAGAAUUAAGCACUGAAUUGCACAUGUUUUCUAAUGAUGCAGAUUGCCAACUAGCUAGCAUAUUUAAUUAUACUCAUCUCCUUCACUGUAAUUGACUGCACUGUACUUGACUUCACUGUUAUUACUGAAAAAUCUCUAACAAUCUACCUAGCUAGCAGAUAAAGGAGGAAAGUUUCAAUGUCAAGAGGAAGUACUUUCGAUUUUAUAGUUUGCACAGAGUUAUCUUUGUACAUCAUAUAUAUUGAAGCACUAAUUAUUGGAGAAAUGCGCCUAUGAAAUUCAACAAAUGAGGCCUGCAUGAGGGAUUAUGCUGUUGUGCUGGACAUAUAAAAACAAUAUGCAUAUUCAAAGCUCAAAUGAUUUCUGUGGAAUUUUUCUUCUGGCCUUGCUCAUGUGGUGGCAAAUUAUAGCAGGAAUUUCCAGUUCAGUAAUCAUUAUUCAAAAUGCAAAUGGCACAAUCUUCGUGUUAUAAAUACAUUGCACAGUUUUAACCUUUCUCUAAUUAUUCAAGACCCUGUUAAAGGUUUGAAGACGAUAUCAGAACCAGAAAUAUUACAUUUUCGAUCAUGGAGACGUGAUAAGGAACCCUAUAUGAAAACAUUUGAAACAGUUUUCCACUCAAAAAGGUCAAAAAAAAAAAAAAAUACAAAGAAACCAAAAUUUUCAGUUAAGUAAUAUCUAAGAUUUAAUGUCUGGCACAAGUCAAUAAGGGAGCAAAGGGAACUGCAAUGGAGAAGACAAAAUUGGCUCAACUGAUCAGUUCACUACUUAUAGUGUAGAUAUGUCACUUUCCUCAAGAUGCACAAAUUAAAUACAUCCACAAUAAGUUUCAAAUAGCUGUUUGUGUUGUUAUGUUUCAACUACUCCAAUCACAUAUAUAUAUGAUCAUAUGAAUUAAUUUUAUGUGUAGAGAGAAGUUCUUAGAAGUUUCCAUUAAUCCUUGCAUUUUUGCAUUAGGUACUUUCUACUUGUGUGUGUGUGUGUGUAUAUAUAUACUAACAUUAUACAGUAAUCACUAAUCACUCAUUGGGACAAAUAUAACUAUAGCCACACAUGUAGUGAAUAUUUUGUAUAUAAACCUGAAAUGAUCAAAUUCUAAUGGAAAGUACUUUUAGCAAAAACUACCGAAGAUCACCUUCAAAGCCAUUCAGAAAAGAAAAUCGAGCUAGCCAUGCAAGUCCUGUACGUAUGUACAGAUAUAUGGUCUCCAUGUAGUCUGAAUGUUCACAUAUCACAUUUUCUUACAUUAAUCUAAUUGUUGUUCUCAUGAAUAAACAUGGUCACAGUUUAAUGUCAUGAACCCUCCACAUUAGUAGAAACUAAUCUCAGAAUUAAUAUGACAUUAUUCAAUCUUUUUUGUCUUAAAAGCAGUGGAUUAAAGUUCUAUUCCAUUUAGUUAAAGCAUUAUCAUUGAUCAAUCUUUGCAAAAUAUACAUAGGCAAAGAUCUUUAUAAAUAGAACUUUACCUUUCAAGAGUACUAAUAAUUAGUUCUUUUUGGCAAUCAACGGCUCUACAAUGUAAUUAUAAGUGUAUCAGUUAUCUUUUUUUUUCUUUUGGUCGGAGUUUAUUGCUUUUAUCAAUAAUAUCGUAAAUUAUGCAGACACAUCUACCCGUCAAAUCUCCGGCACCAAAGCCUGUAAAAGCCUAAUGAUCAUAAUCAUAACAAUGUCAAUAAUGAGUGAGAGAGAGAGGAACAAACAUAUCAUGUGUGCAUGGGGUACAACCGGAGCUAAAAUCCAAUGUGCCAAUUGAACUUUUUCUUUGAAAUAUAACAGAUUCAUAAAAAUAAAAAAAAUAAAAAAAGGCAGAAAAAACUAAUGCACAGAAAUUUUAUAAAUCUAUAUGAACUGUGUACCUGGGAUGCUGUGUGUUCUUUACCACUUUCUGUCCGUACUUCCUCCACUUGUAUCCAUCAUCAAGCACAUCAACUUCGCUCAUUGUCUUGAAGCAAAACCUGGGUUCCCUCACUUUCCUCCGAAUAGCCUUUAUCUUCUUCAUCUUCAUCUCUGAAACCCCUAAUCCUACAUGAUGAUGAUCAUGAAUAUCGCUUGAUGAUCUCUUGCUGCUCAGGCAUUCACUCACCUGAUCUCCCCAUGCCCUAGAUGAAAACCAUCAUCAUCACCAUGAUCAAUAAUUAGUUAACAGUAUGCUUCUAUUCAAACAUGAAUGAUUAGUAUUGAUUGUACUGCAUGUAAGAUUUUACCAGAGAUUUGCACUUGAUCUUUGCAAAGAAAGGAGUUGGGAUCCUCCAAAAUCAGAAGUGAUAUGAGUUUCUCUAUGCUUUUGAGGAGUAUUGAGAGAUGGGAUUAGGGUUUCAGAAAGAUUGGUUGAAGAUGCAUGGUGAUCAUCAGAACCAAGUGAAGAAGGUAAGGAACUCAAGGCUUUGACAGAUUGUUGACAUCCCAACGAUGAAAAGGUCAAGUUAUUUGGUGGGUAGGAAAAGAAACCCAUCUGUAUAGGAGCCUGAUCUUGAUUCUGAUCAAACAAGCCCCGCUGGUUCAGCAUGGUCGACUGUGUCAUCUAUAUAUGACUCUCCUCGUCGAUCUUGAUCUCUUCUUCUAAUCUUCUUCUUCGAUCUUGAUCUUCUUCUUCUCUCUAUCAAUCUGUCUCUAUCUGAAGGGUGUAGAUCACGAAGAAGAAAGGGAAGUCUUGAACUAUCCAAGCAUAUCUAUAUACGCAGUGCUGUAGAUUAAAAGCACAUGAGAGUAUGAGACUACGGGUGUCUCUCUCAAACCUGAAGGAUAUAUAGAUAGAAAAAGGGAAUUUUAAAGAUUUGAAAGUAACCAAAUACCUUACCACUUUCGAUUGUUGCUUUUCCCUGCUUUCACAGUUCACACCAUUUCGUCUGUGUAAAAGUCGCUUCAAAAUUUAAAGAUGAAAUUUAGGAUCCACUGAUAAAAAAAAAUAAAAAAAACAGAAAAUAACAUAUUUCAGCAGAUGAAAAUGAAGAAAGGAAGAGAAGUGUGAUUUUAUUAUAGAACAGAUUAAGACAGAGACCUUCAAUCUUAUGAAGCUGGUGGUUUGGUUUUGGAGUAAUCUAUGUACAGUAGUGCAAGACAUGUUACCAUUUGACCUCAAAAGCAUGAAACAUCCAUAUUUCACAAGUGUGUUGGUGGAGCUUUACUGUUUUUGGUAGAGGUCAACAUUAGAUGACAAAUGUAAAUGAGAGCUACACAUCGCUGGGUUAUUGCACUCUCGUCGGUACAAAAGAUCUGACAGAAAUUUCAUCUUUAUAUCCUGUGUUUUGGAGUUGAUUUGGUUCUUUAUGGAUCACGUACUUUAAAUUUACUGCAGAUUUGUAAAAAUUUAGUACCUUCAUUAUCUAAACACUGUAAGAUUAUGAGGUCUGAUAAAACUGAUCUGACUUCGGCAUAAUAAGAUAAAAACUGACCUGAUGAGUUGCAUUGACAAUUUUGUGCAGCAAUUUUGUGUAUAUGACUCUACCGAGGACUAAAAUAUCAACAUCAAAGAAAUAUUGGUGAUUCAAAAAAAAAAAAUAUCGAUGAAUAUAUCAAGAAAAAUACUGAAUAUUAAUAAAAAAUUUAUCAAAAUUUUAUAUGAAAAUUAUAUAUUCGACUAAAAAUAGACAUAAUAUAAAAUAUCAAAAUUAUAUCAAAAUUAAUAUUGGUAUUUAUAAAAAACAGAAAUUUUAAAAAAUAUAAAAAAUAAUAGUUAGAUAUGAGGGCAGAAUAAUAGAAGUAAUACCUCUAAAAAAGUAAUGACUGUGCAUAUAAGUAACUGAAUUAUGAUUCACCGCGAAAGCUUUUCGAAAACAAAACAACAAAAACAAAAAGAGAAUAAGAGGGUCAUUUUCUAGGGUUUCUUUUGGGGCAUCAAAAAGAAAUACUAUUAGAGCUAUCUAGGGUGGCAAUGAUGAUGAAUCUUGGGUGCAAAUCUAACGCUCCCUGCAUCGGCGGUGAAGAUAUGAUUAUGGUUUGUGAAAUAGCUAGGCUCUCACUCUAUUUGACUUUUGGCAGAGAAAAAGCUUCUCACCUUUCUAAUCUCCUUUUUGCUAAUAUAAACUUUCAUUUUUUGCUUUGCUUCACCCAACCCCGCAUCUACCACCAUUUCUUUCCCAAAUUCCAAACCAACCUAUUAUAUUGCUAUCAUGUCUUCAGUUAUGUUUCUUAAUCGUUGUUUUGAUAUAAUUAACCUUUCUCCUAAGUGAGAAAUUCCUGUGGGCCCUUUAAACUAGAGUUAUGAGCAAUGGUAUCACUACUAUUGUUUCCUAGCUAUAAUUUAAGAAUAAUGUGGUGUUUGUACUUCAUUCGUUUGUUAACCUUAGAUAAGAUGAUUAAUUUGUAACUUCAUUUGGUGAAUACAAGUUCAUCAUGUUUAGCUCAUGCAUGGUCGGUAUCUUGGUUUGCGGAUGAUAAUCAUAAUGAAAUUGUAAAGAUAUAUUAUUGAUUACGAGUCUGUUGGUUCACCGUCUUACCCUAUAAGAUGCUCACAAACGAUAUGUGAUUCAAGUUAAACAGGGAGAUUAAACAACUAAUGCUUACAUUUUAGGAAUAUGUAAUGAUGUAUUAUGUAGCAUGCAAGAUACUAUUAUGGUUACAUAAUUACCCAUUUGAUAUAAUUAAGAACAUGACUUCAACUUAGAUCUUCAUAAUUAAAAUUGAGGAUAUUUUAUUUAUAAUUUCUUUUUCAUAUGUAAAUAAGUAUAUAUUUUUUUUACAAAAUACUGAAAAUAGAUAUUUUCAUUAAUUUAUCCAUCAGCAAGCGCUUAAUUCAAAUUGUCUACUUACAAGUUAUAACCACUCGUUGAGUUUACAACAAGAAAUAACAAAUAACGGAGAACCCUUAUUGUAAAUGCGCGCAAAUUAUACCUAACACAAAAGAUUUAAAACUACCAGCUCCUAUCUAAUCCCCAUAUAACGGUAAUACCAGUCGCAUGCGGACUUUAAUUGGUGUGCAACUAAGUAAAACCGAGACUUAAAACAAGAAUAGCCAUCAAUCAUAGGGGUAGGAAAAACAAAAAAAAAUCUAAGGUUUGCCUACGAAAAAAGACACUAAAUUGAGUCCAGCUGCCACCUAGAGUAGAUCUCAGGUACAUAAAUCCAGGCCCUUGCAGAAGAAGGAUUGAACCCAUACCCAAAACCAAAAACCUAGAUCCAAGUCCGACCCUUACCAACAAUUUGCCUAUUUCAUCAAUCAUCACCGUUUUCAGGCAACCACUAGCCUCCGACAAACAACUGGUACAACGAGUCUAUUGUGAGUCAAACUCACGAUCUCUUAUUUACAAAUAGAUCGAGACUUAUGCCACUAAACCAAAUGGUACUGAGCUUACGUAGAUGUAUUAUAAAACUGACCAACUAGCAAAAAAAAAACAAAAAAAUCAUUUACUUUUCUUUAUGUCUUAAACGAAUUGAAUUUUAUCUAUAAUUUAUUGCAGUACGUACACCAAAUUUGCUACAAUAUUUUUCAUUGUAUAGUAAGUAGUUAUCCAAAAUUAUCAUUACUUGAAAUACUCUUCCAAGAAACAUUUGGUAUCGCGUAACUUUUUCUUUUUUUUAGAGUUUGAUUAUCUUGGGUAGACAACCUAAUCAAGUUAGAUACUGUUAUAUAAUUCUCUCAGUUGGCAAGCCUCAGGGCCAGCUUCUUGAGCUCCGGCACAUAAUAACUUGUAUUCCACAUAGAGGUUUAAGCUAAAACUCGUAUGGUUGGUACUUGGUGAUAAAAGAAUUUUCUUGUACAUGCUUUCUUCCAAUUUUCAAGAAAAAGGGGAAGGAGAACUUGUGAAAGGGAAAGCAAGGAAAAGGAGGAGAGGAGCUUUAGUGAGACGUUUAGCUUAACUUGAAUUGGUGACGGCUGGCGUGGAGCUAACGUGCCUAUGAUGUCAGAAAUAUGAUACGAAUAAAUUAGCUAGGGAAUAAUAUCUACCAGUAAGUUCUGUAGCUGGAGAAGAAACUGAUACAUUCAUAAUUUCAUAUAGGGCAUCGAGUGGGGUGGCAAACAAACAUCAUUUCGUUUUGUCUCCGUUUGUAGGUGGUCAUUAUUCCACUGAGAUUACAUCCCUACUGUAUCUUGGUUAAAUAAUAAUUCCUAUGAAUGGCACUUCUUUCUCUUGCUGAUUUAGCUUUCCCUCUAAAGGAAAAGGGCAAAUGGAAAAUAUGAAAACGAAAAUAGGGACCCAUAGUAUCAUUCGGGCUCUGCUUGAAGACAUAUGCAUGAAUAAUCAUAAGAGAAUCACAGUUUAUAUAUAAUCUGUCCUCGCAGCCAAUGUUGAAAUAGUAAUUUGCUGUUAGAUCGAAACAAACCCAGAAAUAUUUCAUUAGUUGUAGUUAUGGACUUUCUGGUGGUGCCAUUUACACUAAUAAUGAUGAUAACUUAAGAAAGCAGAUCAAGUUACUUUAAUCUUAUACCUUGCAACCCAAAAGUAAAUAUAGAUGAUAUAUACAAAUAAUACAAUAUAGGUUAUAUGAAAUCUGAUGGGGGUUAUGAUUAAGAACACAGUGGAUAUCACUGAUCUAGCUUUUUCUCAUCCAUCAAUCUGCUCUCUUCAUAUCAUGUAUUCGCAGAACUGCAGAGGCAUCCCAUGCAAUCCAUUCUUGGUUAUUAAGUUGUCAUCAUUGAUAUAUAUGACAUCAUGUUAUUAUACCAGGACAGAAUGUUCAUGCAUACAUGCAUCUCCGUAAACAGUUACAUAGAUUUGUAUGGAGACAAUGCAUAUGAGGAAAGCAGCCUUUCUUUUCACGCCCAGCUGCUGCCUCUAGGCUCUCAGCUCUGGCCAGUCUUAGUCUCAGUUCAGACUGUUCUGGUAAAGGAGGAAGAAGAAGCAUGGGACUAACUAUAGGUACAGUCAUGAAAAUAUACAAGUACAUUCUGUUUUUACUGUACGUACGUAUAGUUAAUGGAAGACAUUCUUUCCCUUGGAAAAUGACUGUUCGAUAAAAAUUGAUGGUGGGGGGAAUUAGUGUCAGAAGCUAGCCAUGGCAAAGUGAUGAGCUGAGAGGUUUGAUCAGAAAUUCAGAAGCAGCUGACAUAUGCGUGCGUACCAACCUCAGAACCUCACCACAUUGUCGGUCUCUUUGUAAUAAUAAUUCUCCCACAGUCCCACUGGGGGCGUGAGAGCUUCUAUUGUAUCAAACCCUUUGGAGCCUUGCUGCUCCGGAAUAUCUGUACAGGAACCUUAGCUAUGUUUAUUAUAGCCCUUUAUUCCUACACAAGUACUCUGCUGACCAGAACAAAAAAAAUAAGAAUACCUAAAGAUUGAAGUUCAUCUCACAUAUGAGGAAAAAAGAAAUGUUAUGUUUGUAUAACAAAUAAGGAGUUCAGGAUCGAUCGGACCGGCCCUGCAUGUAGUUACGUACUAUGAGUUGUAUUUUAGGUUGAGAUACUAAGUCCUGGGAUUUGUGUUUGGUGCAUGUAUGUGUGUAAUGCGUGUAUUUCAUUAUUUCAUAGUUGGCUUUGACUUAGAAAAUAAAAUAAGAAAUUAACUUUGGAAGAAAGAAUAAUGCAAAUAGUUUCGUUGAGGAUGAUACAAGCAAAUUAAUAAUAUCGUUAAGGGUGUCUUUGGAUGGUGCUUAUGUGGGCUGUCUCGAAAGAAUGAAAUAUACUUGUAUAUAUGGGAAGGACAUUAGUCUAAUCUUGUGAACGCACGUACGUUGCUUCCCAGGUUUUUAUUCACAUAAUUUUGGACACGGGUGAAGCCGAGGGCGAGGCCUGAUAGUUAUGUUUCUCUCGUAGCUAGGAAUCCCUAGCUAGGAUGGUCUUUUUAGUUUUGUUUUCUUGGUUUUGGUGUGGUUUGUUUGUCGUCCUUUUUUUUGAGGGUGUUAGGGUAUUGGUUUGGGUCGGUGUUGUUAGUGGUUUUAGUAGGGCUAUGGUUGGUUACAUGUCCGGGACUAUAUAUUGGGGUUAACGUCGGUAUUUUCUUGUUGUCAAUAUAAUAGGGAGGUUGUCCAUGCAUAUAUAAUGGCGGUAUUGGUGUAUAGUAAUUGGUGAGGUUGUUUCUUCUUGAGGUUGGCUAUAAGAAGGUAUCGAGACUUUUGUAUGGGGUUAGGAGUAUGUUUCAUUUGAAUCAAUUUCGGUUCAUAUUCAUUGUAAUCGUAUGUGGGUAGGCAGGCCCGGACCUGAGAUUUUGAGGCCUGAGUCGAACUCUCAGAGUUGGGCCCUUAAUUUUUAUAUAUAUAUAUAUAUAUAAAUAGCAUAUAACAUCUAAAAAUAUAUAGGAUUUUAUGCAAAAUAUUUAUUAUGCAAAUAGAAUUCCAAAAUCUUGAUGGUUUAGUAAUCUUAAUUGUAUUAUAAAUCUUAUCUAUACAACAAAUAUCUUACUUGUUUGGCUGCUUCUAUUUAAUAUUUUAACUUUUUAUGGGUACAAAUUUAAAGUAGUAAUUAAUGGUUUGGCCCCUCAUCACGUGUAAUUGUCUUUGUUUUAGGAUAGUUGUCUUUAAUUCAUGUCAGAUUGCACAGCCAAAAGAUUAUUAAAAAAAAUAAAAUUUGGACAACUAUAAAAAAUAUUUUUGGGCCCCUUAGAUUUUUGGGCCCUGAGUCCCAAGCCUCUUGUGCCUCUAUUUAAAUCCGGGCCUGUGGGUAGGGAGGCGUGUGAUGACUUGUUAUCUACCACUGAGAUCUCAUAUGGUUGUAAUGGUUGGUUAUUAUAAUAUUAAGUUAUCUUUCUCAAAAAGAAAUCCGUAGGAUGGUGUACGUAUCAUUACAUUAUAUUGAAUGGUGCAUUUGAUGAUGUUGUAGUGUUGCCGGAAUGAUUUGGAAUGGCCAGGACCGAAUGGAAGUUAGAGAUCACGAGGGUUUCUACUCGUUAAGGAUUUCUAUAUCUAUCCGGUUUCGGGGAUAGGGUUUCUUAAGGGGCAUAGGUUGCUUAAUUUGAAUCAUCAAGCUGAGAGAGCAAGUGAGGUCUCGUAAAGUUCUUCAAAGAUUCUAGUAUUCUUGUUCUUGCAUUCUCCUUACAGGACCGAGCCGAAGUAAUGGCAUAGUUUACGGUGAUUUAAUGGAAUUUUCUUUAUCCCGUAGCCCUAGCUAGCUUGAUUUAUCAAGAAUAAUAUGGCAUACUUAUAGAGCACGCAGGGAUAUCGGAUAACUACCAUUCUUCAGGUGACCAUUUCCCACGAAGACCAAGACAUCGGUGCUCGCAGCUGCAGGAAUGUAGGGGAUGCACUGGAGGCCUCUGCUAACCGGUGUCCCAGCAGUUCCAAUACCUGGAACGACUCGCAGCAGUCAAACCUCUAGCAGAAAUGGAUAUCGAGGUCACAAGUCUUAACAAUGCUUGAGGUACCGAGGCUAAUUCUGAUUCCAUAACUAGGCAUGUCGGUUUGUUGAAGCCUGGCGGGAGAGAAGAAUCUUGAAGCCCACGGCGGAACGCAAACCACUGAGCUGCUUCUAAAAACCACGUCCUGUCCUCUAGUAUAUUCACAUCCUCAUCAUGACAUCCGGUAUCAGUAAAUAGUAAUAGUGUAAUACAUUGUUCUGUCUCGUAUCAAAUGGCUUUGACAGAUUGGAUAUUGUGUGCAACCUAUUUCUUGAAGACUGCCCUAUUCACGUCUUGUUUCUUAUUUUUCAUUUGCAGUCAUCCGUGUCUGACCCUACCCUGUCAAGUUCAAUUAAAUUCAAAUCACUUUUCAUCACAGUUCCUGAUAAUUUGACACCAUGAAUUCAAUCCAUGCUUCUUCUAGUAUAGUUUCUCACGACGGGAAAAGCAUGGCAUGCGUCCUGGAUCAAGUGUGUCCUUGGUCAAUGUUUGGCUCCAAGUACAUGUUUAAACAUGAGACUAAGGGUACUUUUGGUACCCGGUAUUACCUAAGUCAGUGUUAAAUAAGGAGUGAAACAAGAUUAAUCCCAUGUUUGGUCUCUCUCGGUACUAAUAUUAAUGGGCUUAACUAGGACCUGUUUUCUGAUUUCUCCUCCUUAGCCGGUGUUAGCGUGGGUACUCCGAUGAGAGGCCCUUAGCUAAGACCUCACUAACCUCUCUCAGUUCGCAUCGCCUCCUCCACAACUCUUCUCUCUUCUUCUUCACCUCCUCUCUGCAACACUCUUGUUUGCCCAAAUGGACCAACCACAAUAAAACUUGGCUCCAAGUACAUGUUUAAACAUGAGACUAAGGGUACUUUUGGUACCCGGUAUUACCUAAGCCAGUGUUAAAUAAGGAGCGAAACAAAAUUAAUCCCAUGUUUGGUCUUGUAAGAAGAAGAAGAAGCUCUUCCUUCUGAUGAGCCACCACCCUCCACUCAAACCGAUGAUCCUCCCGUUGAAGAAGAAGAAGAAGAAGCUCUUCCUUCUGAUGAGCCACCACCCUCCACUUAAACCGAUGAUCCUCCCGUUCCUGAUCCUCCAUUCGAUCCCAACCGAAGUAUCUAUCUCUCUCUCUCUCUCUCUCUCUCUCUCUCUCUCUCUCACAUUUACGGCUUUGACUGUGUUUUCGUUUCUGGGUUUGUUGAAAGAUGUGAAAUUUUUCACAAUUGAGAUAGGAUUUGGGGUCUGAUGUCUUGUGGGUGUAUAAGGACUUGACUUUCUAUAGGAGAUUUAUCACACUGAAAAUCUAAUGGUUAAAAAGAUAAAUGAGACUUGGGAUAGAUGAACCAUUGUAUCGUCUUCUUUCGAAUUUUGUCUUAGGCUCUAGCAUUCAUCAUAAUCUAAAUAGCAUUGUGGCUAAAGGUAAUGUCUAUGUGUGAUAGGAAGCAGAAGAUGGACAUCUUUUUGUUUACAUUAACCGAUUUUAAAUUUUAUAGCUACAUCUAUAUCAUCACUGUAAUUUGACUCUCAGAUAUAAUGGAGUUUGAUAUAAAGGAUGGAACACGCGGUAUGCAAACUGACUUGAAACUUUAGUCUUCAAACCCAAUUAAUGAUAUUUCCCAGUAACUACUUCAGAGAAGAUUUUGUGCGACUUAUAAUGAACAUUAUAAUGAACAGUUUUUCUGGCUUCAACUUAGGUUUUCAAUUCCACAGUUCUCUGGGAAUGGGAAUGGUCAUUUCCAUUAUUAGACCAGAGAUGAUUCUAUCAAUUUACUUCCUUUCAGUUCAAGCACCAUCUAAUCUAGCUACAAUGCAAUUCACCAACGAAAAAUAAAAUCAAAUUCAGGGGGGCACAUAUACGGUUUCAGAGAACGGAACUUCAACUCUGCAUUGCAAGCCACAGUUCAAAUUUGAUUUCAAACAUGGCCAGUUAUACAGGUUCACUUGCAUGGUUAUAAAAUCAUAUUCAGGCUCGCUUGCAUGCUAAAACCAAAAGUGGGCAAGACCAGUGGAAACUAGAACAAACUGAUAGCAGAGUAUCAGAUAGUGAGUACAAAUACAAAACUGCAUCAAUGCAGCAUCAAUCAUCACCACCAAAAUUACAAUCACAAAAACAAUUCAAAUCAUUGUGAAGCAUGAAAAGAUGCAAAUCAGGGUUGUAGAAAAAAAAAAGUACUCUCAAACAGAACUCGAAGGUGAUUUGAGAGAAAACAAGAAAAUGCAAAAGCAAUCUUCUAACAAAAGCAACUUGCAGAAGGUGAUACUAGACUGAAAAACAAGUGUAUGAACCUGAAUCUUUGUCUCAUACAAGCAUAAGUAAUCAGCCCCUAUUGUUCAUUCCCAUCAAGAGCAAGCUGGCUAGGGAGAAAAACAAAUGGAUGAAAUAUAGACAUAAGAGAAUGACCCGAUUUAGAAAUUGAUCGUGACCACCCAGAUAAACGGAAAAGAGAAAUUUAAUGCCAGAACUUGGUACCCAAGAAACACUUGAUCUCACAAACAACACGACCACCGUUUUAAUAAAUAUAUGGGAAAAGAAACCAAAAAGCAACAGACCAAUGUUGGGUUUGAUUUUCAGUCUGAUUCCCUGGGAUACUGGGACAUAAGCUUCCAACAGUGGAAUAUUGAAGAUCGCAUCCACGCAUAAUAUGCAUGUCCCUUAUUCAAGUAUCUAAGAAUGAAGCUGCUAAGCGCACAAAUCAUCAAAAGAAGCAAAUAGUUACUUCGAAACUAAACCCGCACCACAGGCAAGCUCACACAUCAUCAAAAGAGGUAAAAUAGUUCCUUAGAAACUAAAGCCACACCACAGGCUAGCUCACAGAUCAUCAAAAGAAGAACAUUAGUUCCUUAGAAAAUAAAGCCGCACCACAGGCUAGCUCACGAUUAAUACAACCACAAAAUAUGAUACACCUUAGUUUUACUGUUCAUUACGGUUAUUAGAUCAGUUGUGGGAGAUCUCAAUAAAAAAAUAUUACCUUUACUGUAAACUGCAGUCCACACUCAAAUAGCAGGUAUUAUUUCAGAAAUUAGUUAAUUCAUGCGAGAGAUCACCACCAAUACCAGCAAAAGCUUCACGACAUAACAAUGACCUAAGAAAGGAACAAACACUGGAGUACAGUACAAAGUACCAA
rnacentral:lncRNA from 1 species